AGCCUCCUCCACAGACCACAACAGUACAGAAUGUCCCUUCACAGCUACGUUAGACUUUGGCUGUGACAUCAACAUUAGUUUAUGCCAUCAGCACUUCAUUUGAUGAAAAUUUCCUCUGCAAACUGCUUACCAGAGGCUUCAAAGGCUUUUGCAUUUCCCAGAGGAGCUCCAUUCUCUAUUAUUACUCUUCAAGAACAAAGAGAAACUGCAGUUUUCAGUGUCCUCUGAGUUAGUGUACCCCUGCUCUUGCUUGUGGGGGAAGAUGAAGAAUAGGAACUGCCUGCCUGGGCAAGCUGUGUCCACCAAACCCUGGCAAAGGUUUCCAGCCAUGGCUCAGUGUCUGUAAUCAGGCAAACCUUAGGUAACACUAUUAUCAAAACGGGGGCAAACAAGGUUAAUUAUAAAGGCCUACUUUUCUAAGAAAAGUAGCUUGGCAUAAAAGGUAGAGUGUUUCUUUCUCCUGAUAGUGUGUGCCAGGAGGGGAAAACAACAGCAACUGAAGGCUCAGGCAGAGCUGCCUUAGUGUGUUCCAGUGCUUGGCUCCUGAUUAUGCUGUGGUGAAAUCUGGAUCCAGUCUUCAAAAAUAAAAUCUUUGCUCUUAUAUACAACAAAAGAGAUGAUGUAUACCAACAUUUGCCCUACAGUGGUAUUUUUGGAGUGUUAUUUUUAUGUUCUGACUCAAAUGUUUGGGAAUGUUGUAAGGCAAGCAUUGCUCUGUCUUAGAUGUUGGUGGAGGGUGCAAAUGUAGCAGCCACAGCACCUCUGACCUCAGCUGCCACUCACUGUGUGUCUCAAUAGAGAUGUUUGGAGAGGAAGAACUUGUUUCAGUCUGAGCUGAAAGAGAAUUUUCUAUCUUCUGUAUUAGUGUGCCUUUAAUAAAAGAGACAUUGAGACAUUACAGUGUGACCUAAAGAAAGACAAGAUACAGGUGCUGCUGAUUAAUCUCACUGUCAUAGAGGGGUUGUUCUGCUAAUAACGAAAAGGACGUUAUGUUCUCCUGCAAUAUUCUGUCCUUUAUAACCUUCAGAACAAAAUAGCUACAUACAAAAAUCAGAAACUGUGUGGUUUACUCAUAUCCCCUCAGCAUUUAUAUUUCUCAAAGGGAAGGCAGAGGAUGAUAACUGAGAAUAUUGCCUGAUAAAGCAGCUUGGUUAACGGUCUGUGGUAUUAUACUCUUUGUGGUUAUCGCCAGAUUGCAAAAAGCAAUAUCUAAUCUUGACUGGAAAAACAAGAAAGCCAGAGAAAAAAUUGUGUUGUUUUCUGAGAUGAAACUAUUUCAGUCACCCUUGGAGGCUAAAAAGUUAACAUUUCCUUGAACAGCUACAAAUAUUUGUGAAUUGCCCCCAAAUGUACUAAGCUGGGGAAUUUUAUCAGGCCUAAUAACUUUCACA